UACGUAGGGUGCAAGCGUUGUCCGGAAUUAUUGGGCGUAAAGAGCUCGUAGGCGGUCUGUCGCGUCGGCUGUGAAAACUCGGGGCUCAACCCCGAGCCUGCAGUCGAUACGGGCAGACUAGAGUGCUGUAGGGGGGACUGGAAUUCCUGGUGUAGCGGUGAAAUGCGCAGAUAUCAGGAGGAACACCGGUGGCGAAGGCGGGUCUCUGGGCAGUAACUGACGCUGAGGAGCGAAAGCGUGGGGAGCGAACAGG
rnacentral:rRNA from 1 species